rnacentral:sRNA from 1 species
UCUAGGAAGUGCGCUGGAGAAAUCCUUAGCUGUCAGCCAAGGUGGAGAGCUCUAUGAAGAGUGGCUGGAACUUAGAAACGGUUGCCUCUGCUGUUCAGUGAGGGACAAUGGCCUUAGAGCUAUUGAGAAUUUGAUGCAAAAGAAGGGGAAAUUUGAUUACAUACUGUUAGAGACCACUGGAUUAGCAGAUCCUGGUAAGAAGUGAGAUUAUUAAUAACCAGAAUAUAGUUCUGUGAUAUAUUGUAAAUAGAUGUAUUAGAGGAAUAUCUAAAAUGAGUAUUAAAGCUUUUGUUAGUAUUAAACCAAAAACUUUUUUUGGUUUAAAAGAGGAAAAGUACUCGGUUGUCAUUUUCUUUGGCAGUUGAAUGAAUGAACAGAGUAUUUCUUGGUACUUUUAAGCUGUUAAUAGAAUUUGAAGUUUUAUUGAUUGACUUAGGAUUAUUUGUAAGAACAGAAGUUGUUAAAAAUAAGGACAUGUAGGAAGAGCAGAGACGUUCUACCUCUAAGUACAGUUGUCCCUUAUCCAUGGGGUAUUAGUUCCGGAACCUCUGAGGAUACCAAAAUCUAUUAAUGUUCAAGUCCCUUACAUAAAAUGGUGUAGUAUUUGCCUAUAACCUAUGCACAUCCUCCCAUAUACUUUAAAUCAUCUGUAGAUUACUUAUAAUACCUAAUACAA